rnacentral:rRNA from 1 species
GAUGAACGCUGGCGGCGUGCCUAAUACAUGCAAGUCGAGCGAACAGACGAGGAGCUUGCUCCUCUGACGUUAGCGGCGGACGGGUGAGUAACACGUGGAUAACCUACCUAUAAGACUGGGAUAACUUCGGGAAACCGGAGCUAAUACCGGAUAAUAUAUUGAACCGCAUGGUUCAAUAGUGAAAGACGGUUUUGCUGUCACUUAUAGAUGGAUCCGCGCCGCAUUAGCUAGUUGGUAAGGUAACGGCUUACCAAGGCAACGAUGCGUAGCCGACCUGAGAGGGUGAUCGGCCACACGGGAACUGAGACACGGCCCAGACUCUUACGGGAGGCAGCAGUAGGGAAUCUUCCGCAAUGGGCGAGAGCCUGACGGAGCAACGCCGCGGGAGUGAUGAAGGUGUUCGGAUCGGAAAACUCUGUUAGUAGGGAAGAACAAAUGUGUAAGUAACUAUGCACGUCUUGACGGUACCUAAUCAGAAAGCCACGGCUAACUACGUG